rnacentral:lncRNA from 1 species
CAGGGUGUGACACAGGUUUCUUCUUGUCUUGAGGAUGAGUGAAGAAGCCCACAGCCACAUGGGUAUUUUCGCAGCUUCCCAUGGGGGAAAGGCUGACCCUGGAUAGGUGGGGAAGAAAGACCUGAUCUUGUCACAGGAGUAGUGCUGGUGAGGAGAGGACAACAGACCUAGUGAUGUUUCUUUCACCCUCCCCAAUUCCCACCACCUAGAAAAUGAAGACUGACAACUAUUA